rnacentral:rRNA from 1 species
AAACCGCCUAGAGGUAAACGGGUGGAUCCGCAAAGUCGGCCCGCGGAAUUCAGCUCGGAAGGGGUGCGCUCAGUCGGUGGGUCGGGGAUCUUAUCGACCCUCCCGCCGUGGGACGCGCCUCGGCCGUGUGCACUUUCCGCGGGCAGAGCGCCACGACCGGUUCUCGGGCGGUCAUAAGGCGGCGGGGAUGGUAGGCGGGCGCUUCGGCGUCCGCUGGUAUAGCCCCGUCUGUCCCGAUCCGCUCGGGGACCGAGGAGCUGCCGUCGGCGUAGGCCGCCUCGCCCUCGCGGGAUGUUCGACUGGCUGAGACUGGGCAACCGUGUCUGCCGACCGCUUCUCGUUGAUGGAUGGGGUGGGCCCGCCGGCACAGGGUCAGUGGCGAAUCGGUCGGCCCUCCACCCGACCCGUCUUGAA